rnacentral:lncRNA from 1 species
GCAACCCACUCCAGUAUUUUUGCCUGGGAAAUCCCAUGGACAGAGGAGCUUUGUGGGCUCACCAAUAAUAUGAUGUUACCCUAUAAGAAGUCAUAAAUUCAGCAAAUUCUAUUCCAGAGAAAACUGCGGGAGCAGAGGUUAUUUUUCUAUCUAGCAAGUCAACCUUCCAGGAAUUCAGUUCUACCUUUCCACAGGUCCCUUGAAGGCAGUGUUCUGUUUUUUCUUUUUUGGUGGGGUUGGGAGAGGGACUUCCCUCAUAGCUCAGUUGGUAAAGAAUCCGCCUGCAACGCAGGAGAUCCCAGUUCGAUUCCUGGGCCAUGAAGAUCCACUGGAGAAGGGAUAGGCUACCCACUCCAGUAUGCUUAGGCUUCCCUUGUGGCUCAGCUGGUGAAGAAUCCGCCUGUAAUGUGAGAGACCUGGGUUUGAUCCCUGGGUUGGGAAGAUCCCCUGGAGAAGGGAAAAGCUGCCCACUCCAGUAUUCUGGCCUGGAGGAUCCCAUGGACUACAUGGGAUCAGAAAGAGCUGGACACAACUGAGUGACUCUCACUUGACUUCACUGGGGGAGGGACAGCCCUUGCCUUUUUGAGCGAUUGGGCAAAGGGUCUAUUUGCCAAGUUACCAAAGAACCACACGAGUGCCUCAGGUCAUCCAGUUCCUUAAUUUCUAACACAAAUCAGCAGCCUGAGGAUUUUCCAAACCAAGCCACUUUAAAAUAAAAUUUAUGUCUGGACAGGCCCCAAAGAUGGUUGGAUUUCAGGGUUUCUUCAAAAGUUUUGAUGUACAAGUGGGAGAACUUAGGCCACCUGGUCAAUCUAAGGUCCUAAGAAGCUGACAAGUGGAACGGUAACUCCAGGGAGACUCCGAAUUCUACCCAAUGCUGGUCUUCGAGAAAAGCCCUAGGCUUCUUUUGGGUGAUCCGCAUGGUUCCGAAGAAGCUUCCUCCACUUCUCUGGUUCCACGACUGAUCAGGAACAGACAUGUAACCUCAGCCAGUUCAGUUAGAAGAACUCUCAGGACGAGCCUGGCAAUGUUGGAACGCCGAUGUUUUCUCUUCCUUGCUAGAGAUGAAAGGGGUUCAGGUGACCCCAGGAGCUGGGAGUGGUUACUUUUGGUUCCUGGAGCAUUAUCCAUUCAUUGUUUGCUCAACAAACAUUUAGUAACCACCACUGAGUGCCAGAUGUGAAAAUAGAAAACUGAAUACGACAUGGCCACUGACGUUACGGUGCUUAUACUGUAGGGGAGGAGACGGGAAGGCAUAAAGGGCGGGGGGCAAAGCAGCCAGAAUUCACAAAAACAGAGAGCACAGAUUCCUGGUAUGGAUCCACUUAGCUGUCGCAGGAUGCCACCUGAGGUAUCCCCAGAUGGCAGAAGUGGCUGUAUCUGGGCAUUCUGUAUGUGGGGUUGAUACCUUUUCAGUCUGCCUUGAACCAUCCAGUUAACUGUGGUUUUAGUGAAAUUUCUUGCAGUAACCCAAUUGCAAAAGCAUUGCAAAGUUUCCUCAAUCUUCAACCACUGGCUGGUGUCUUAAUCCAAAGUAUAACCUUAACUAGAAACCAGUUUUCUGGGUACAUAUAAAUAUUUGGACAAUAAUGUCAGUACGUCAUAUUUCAUUAUUAAUGAGGCAAAUAAAUCAGAGUAUUUUUUUCUUUUUUGGCCA